rnacentral:rRNA from 1 species
UUUCACGUGUAGCGGUGAAAUGCGUAGAGAUGUGGAGGAACACCAGUGGCGAAGGCGACUAUCUGGUCUGAUACUGACGCUGAGGCGCGAAAGCGUGGGGAGCGAACAGGAUUAGAUACCCUGGUAGUCCACGCCGUAAACGAUGUGUGCUAAGUGUUAGAGUCUUUCCGCUCUUUAGUGCGCCAGCAACCGCAUUAAUCACUCCCCUUGGGGAGUCCGGUGCCAAGUUUGAAAUUCAAAGAAAUUGAGGGGGGCCCCCCCAACCGGUGGACCAUGUGUUUAAAUUGGAAGCAACGGGAAGACCUUUCCCAGCUCUUGCCAUCUUAGAACAACCCUAGAGAUAAGGCUUCCCCUUGGGGGGUAGAGUGCCAGGUGGUGCAUGGUGUUGUUCAGUUGGUGUGUUGAGAUGUUGGGUUAAGUCCGGCAACGAGCGCAACCCUGGAUUUUAGUUGCCAGCAUUCAGUUGGGCACUCUAAGGUGACUGCCGGUGACAAACCGGAGGAAGGUGGGGAUGACGUCAAGUCAUCAUGCCCCUUAUGACCAGGGCUACACACGUGCUACAAUGGUCAGAACAAAGGGCAGCCAAGCCGCGAGGUUAAGCCAAUCCCACAAAUCCGUUCUCAGUUCGGAUCGCAGUCUGCAACUCGACUGCGUGAAGCUGGAAUCGCUAGUAAUCGCGGAUCAGCAUGCCGCGGUGAAUACGUUCCCGGGCCUUGUACACACCGCCCGUCACACCACGAGAGUUUGUAACACCCGAAGUCGGUGAGGUAACCUCUGGAGCCA